ACGAAGGUCCCAAGCGUUGUUCGGAUUUACUGGGCGUAAAGCGUCUGUAGGCGGCAAAGUAAGUCAGAUGUGAAAUUCCGGGGCUCAACCUCGGAACUGCAUCCGAUACUGCUUUGCUAGAGUAUUGGAGGGGAAUCUGGAAUUCACGGUGUAGCAGUGAAAUGCGUAGAUAUCGUGAGGAACACUAGUGGCGAAGGCGAGAUUCUGGACAAUUACUGACGCUGAGAGACGAAGGCCAGGGUAGCGAAAAGG
rnacentral:rRNA from 1 species